UACGUAGGGUGCGAGCGUUAAUCGGAAUUACUGGGCGUAAAGUGUGCGCAGGCGGCGCCGCAAGUCGAGUGUGAAAUCCCCGAGCUUAACUUGGGAAUUGCGCUCGAAACUACGACGCUGGAGUAUGGCAGAGGAAGGUGGAAUUCCACGUGUAGCGGUGAAAUGCGUAGAGAUCGGGAGGAAGGCCGGUGGCGAAGGCGGCGCUCUGGAACAUUUCUGACGCUGAGGCUCGAAAGCGUGGGGAGCAAACAGG
rnacentral:rRNA from 1 species